rnacentral:rRNA from 1 species
GAAUCUUGGACAAUGGGCGCAAGCCUGAUCCAGCCAUGCCGCGUGAACGAUGAAGGCCUUAGGGUUGUAAAGUUCUUUCGCCGGUGACGAUAAUGACGGUAACCGGAGAAGAAGCCCCGGCUAACUCCGUGCCAGCAGCCGCGGUAAUACGGAGGGGGCUAGCGUUGUUCGGAAUUACUGGGCGUAAAGCGCACGUAGGCGGAUUGUUAAGUCGAGGGUGAAAUCCCAGGGCUCAACCCUGGAACUGCCUUCGAUACUGGCAAUCUAGAGAUCGAGAGAGGCGAGUGGAAUUCCGAGUGUAGAGGUGAAAUUCGUAGAUAUUCGGAGGAACACCAGUGGCGAAGGCGGCUCGCUGGCUCGAUACUGACGCUGAGGUGCGAAAGCGUGGGGAGCAAACAGG